GGAUAGAUGUCCGAGUGGUUGAAGGAGCACGCCUGGAACGCGUGUGUGGGGCAACUCGCCGUGGGUUCGAAUCCCACUCUAUCCGCCA
rnacentral:tRNA from 1 species